rnacentral:rRNA from 2 species
GAGUGGCGAACUGGUGAGUAACACGUGGGAAACCUGCCCAGAAGCGGGGGAUAACACCUGGAAACAGAUGCUAAUACCGCAUAACAACUUGGACCGCAUGGUCCGAGUUUGAAAGAUGGCUUCGGCUAUCACUUUUGGAUGGUCCCGCGGCGUAUUAGCUAGAUGGUGAGGUAACGGCUCACCAUGGCAAUGAUACGUAGCCGACCUGAGAGGGUAAUCGGCCACAUUGGGACUGAGACACGGCCCAAACUCCUACGGGAGGCAGCAGUAGGGAAUCUUCCACAAUGGACGAAAGUCUGAUGGAGCAACGCCGCGUGAGUGAAGAAGGGUUUCGGCUCGUAAAACUCUGUUGUUAAAGAAGAACAUAUCUGAGAGUAACUGUUCAGGUAUUGACGGUAUUUAACCAGAAAGCCACGGCUAACUACGUGCCAGCAGCCGCGGUAAUACGUAGGUGGCAAGCGUUGUCCGGAUUUAUUGGGCGUAAAGCGAGCGCAGGCGGUUUUUUAAGUCUGAUGUGAAAGCCUUCGGCUCAACCGAAGAAGUGCAUCGGAAACUGGGAAACUUGAGUGCAGAAGAGGACAGUGGAACUCCAUGUGUAGCGGUGAAAUGCGUAGAUAUAUGGAAGAACACCAGUGGCGAAGGCGGCUGUCUGGUCUGUAACUGACGCUGAGGCUCGAAAGUAUGGGUAGCAAACAGGAUUAGAUACCCUGGUAGUCCAUACCGUAAACGAUGAAUGCUAAGUGUUGGAGGGUUUCCGCCCUUCAGUGCUGCAGCUAACGCAUUAAGCAUUCCGCCUGGGGAGUACGGCCGCAAGGCUGAAACUCAAAGGAAUUGACGGGGGCCCGCACAAGCGGUGGAGCAUGUGGUUUAAUUCGAAGCUACGCGAAGAACCUUACCAGGUCUUGACAUACUAUGCAAAUCUAAGAGAUUAGACGUUCCCUUCGGGGACAUGGAUACAGGUGGUGCAUGGUUGUCGUCAGCUCGUGUCGUGAGAUGUUGGGUUAAGUCCCGCAACGAGCGCAACCCUUAUUAUCAGUUGCCAGCAUUAAGUUGGGCACUCUGGUGAGACUGCCGGUGACAAACCGGAGGAAGGUGGGGAUGACGUCAAAUCAUCAUGCCCCUUAUGACCUGGGCUACACACGUGCUACAAUGGAUGGUACAACGAGUUGCGAACUCGCGAGAGUAAGCUAAUCUCUUAAAGCCAUUCUCAGUUCGGAUUGUAGGCUGCAACUCGCCUACAUGAAGUCGGAAUCGCUAGUAAUCGCGGAUCAGCAUGCCGCGGUGAAUACGUUCCCGGGCCUUGUACACACCGCCCGUCACACCAUGAGAGUUUGUAACACCCAAAGUCGGUGGGGUAACCUUU